UCGCGUCAUUUAAAAAGACCUCGACCCCAUUUCGCACAAAAGAAUUAAUCCCUCCCUCCCCCCUCAAAACCCUAAUCGUUCAUCGUCAUCAAUGUGGCCGAGGAGCUUCUGCAGAUGAAGUCUUAGCGACAGGAGGACUCCUAGGCCAAUGCAUGCGUAGUCGAGAUCUUCGCCUCACACCAGAAUGCGUGGCAGGUGGAGGAGAAGCGCCUCUUACACUAGAUCGACACCAUUUUCAUUCUUCCUUUUUGCCUCUUUCAGUCACACACCUUCUCGAUGAUCAACGACAACAUCGCCAUGAUAGAUCUCACUUCUGCCCUCGAUGAAGAGAAUCGUGCCAAUCUAGUCAAUGCUUUCAAGGUUUGUCAAUCCCCGUCGUCCGCAAAAAUCAAUUCGGAGGGGUUCUUUUCAAGUACGGUUCCAAUCCUAUUUAGGUUGCAUUUAAGAUGGUGAUUUCAAGCGGCAAGUCAUUUUUAUUGGUGGAUUGACCGAUGAUUUUCUUGCUACUUCCAAAAGUGGACAACGCACUUCUGGAGAUGUUUAGAAUAGACUACGUUUGGACUUUCACGAGUUGCUCGAAAUUCCACAAGGUGAUAGGCGUCGUUACAAUGAUUGUAAUUUUUGUAAUAAAAAUUGUAAUUUUUGUAAUAAAAGUCAUUCCUUAAAAAUCUUUUGAUCGUGCAGAAAACACUAGCACCCUCCAUCACUUUGUGCAACUCUGGUUGGCAAAUGCCAGGGCUAGUCAUCUGUGCAUGAUGCAUCAACAUCUUUUUUCCAUUCAAAAUAAUAAAAAAAAUGCAACAUAUUCCAAAUGCCUACAAUAUGGCUCAAGGUUCAAUAGUCGGUCUUUUCAAUUUGAUGUGGAUCAAGCGCUAUUUGCAAUAUGGCUUUUUAUUUAUUUAUUUUGUGUUGCGUUAUAUUCCUUUAGCGAAAUGGUCUUUUUUCUGUAGACAAUGGCAAGCUGGAUACUGAGUCAGACUCAAGUGAAUUUUGGGUUCUCUUUGGUGGUUUUGCACUUUUGCUCCCAUUGUGUUAUGGCUAUAUGAAGGGAUAAGGAAAUAGUAGCUCAAGCUUUUGGUAUAAAUUUUGUUAUGGCCGGAAAUGAUUCUAAAUUGUACAUAUUUGAGUUCACAAGAAAAGCACUUUGCACAAAGUCCUUCUAUCAAGAAUUUUUGUAGUCCUUUGGAAUUCUAGCGAAAAUCCAGGAAACUGACUCACUUUUUUUUUUCUUUAUUUUAAUAUUACAUGUUAAAGAAGAGAUUAAAAAAUAUUAUGAACUCACAAACAAAUUAGGGAGAGUAGUUGUGUAUCUGGGUUCUUCAAGGAUGGGACCUAGCCAUUCACAUUAUGUGCAAGCACAAGAGUGGGCUAAAAAGGUAAGUAAAUAUUUUUACAAUAGUUUCCUACCUCUUUUUUCAGCUUACUUGUUGGUGUGUAUUGCAUAAGAUCUCAUUCAUUUGUUACCUAAUCAUAUUGUUUCUGGCAUUAACAAUAGUGACAGUGGCAAAGGUCGUUAUAAGUUUUUAUUAUUUUUGCAACAUAUCUUGCUGCACAAAAAGCAAAUCUUUUGGAUUGCACUUCUUGGUCAGGGGCUGGACCAGGGCUAAUGGACGUUGUUACUCAAGGUGCUAUGCAAAACCAUCGAUAGCUUGAGCUAUUAGUUAUUUUCUGCUUGUCAGGUACAUUAUGAAACCACUGGUCCAGAGAUAUGGGAAGGCACAGGAGGGAAAGAUGAUGCACUUGUUAGCGGUAUAGGUAUUGGUGGUACCAUAAUGGGUGUAGGGAAAUUUCUUAAAGAGAAGAAUCCUAAUAUAAAUCUCUAUGGUAUGGAACCAGCUGAAAGUCCAAUACUCUCUGGAGGAGAACCUGGUUUUCAUCUACUGAGUUCAAUGCAUGCCAAGAAAAACCUAAAGAAUAUUGGGUUGGAAAGCGAAGACUACCAUUUUUUCAAACGUGUUGGGAAGGGCUUACUUUGUACCUAUGUAGUACUUGAUUUAACGGUAUUUAUAAUUUUAGUUGUCUCGUGGAAGUAUCAUAUUUGAAAAGUGUUUAUAUUUUUAAUGAUAGAAUUUCUUGUGGAUGUAAUUAUUGUUCUCCCUUUUUUGCAAGUUUCUUGGUCUUCUACCUUUAUUUGUAGUUAAAAUCAUCAAGAGGU